ensembl:lncRNA
CACGUAUUCCCCAAGGUGUCUACAGCAUUGUGACAUAUUUUUACGCAUUUCCAUUAAAGAAUAGCCGCAAGGGAGCAUAUUUAGCAAGUGGUCACAUGGUGUCUCCCGCAGAAAAUCUUGCGUAAAAUACUGAGGUAAGCCAUUUUUCCAAUCGCUUCUUAUAAGAAACCAAUUGCCUCGACGGAUAUAUUAUCAAAUAUAUAUGUUAAAAACACCUUGAGGAUGGAUCCUAAACAACGUUUGCCGUGUUUCUGUCGAUAUUAUGGAGCUAAUUUUGAAAAAAGUUUGGCGUUGUAGUGGUAGCAUUUUCCGGUCGAUUUCUCAGCCAAGCAUGAUGAACAAACUGGAGCUAUUUCACCUACAAAAAUAAUAUUUUGGGAAAAAAGGAACAUUUGCUAUCUAACUGGGAGUCUCCUGAGUGAAAACAUCCGAAGUUCUUCAAAGGAGCCUGAAAAGAUUUGGCAUGGGUCCCCAGAACCUCAAAACAUUGUCCAGCUGCACCAUCGAGAGCAUCGUGACCAG